rnacentral:rRNA from 2 species
UGAGUGAAGAAGGGUUUCGGCUCGUAAAACUCUGUUGUUAAAGAAGAACAUAUCUGAGAGUAACUGUUCAGGUAUUGACGGUAUUUAACCAGAAAGCCACGGCUAACUACGUGCCAGCAGCCGCGGUAAUACGUAGGUGGCAAGCGUUGUCCGGAUUUAUUGGGCGUAAAGCGAGCGCAGGCGGUUUUUUAAGUCUGAUGUGAAAGCCUUCGGCUCAACCGAAGAAGUGCAUCGGAAACUGGGAAACUUGAGUGCAGAAGAGGACAGUGGAACUCCAUGUGUAGCGGUGAAAUGCGUAGAUAUAUGGAAGAACACCAGUGGCGAAGGCGGCUGUCUGGUCUGUAACUGACGCUGAGGCUCGAAAGUAUGGGUAGCAAACAGGAUUAGAUACCCUGGUAGUCCAUACCGUAAACGAUGAAUGCUAAGUGUUGGAGGGUUUCCGCCCUUCAGUGCUGCAGCUAACGCAUUAAGCAUUCCGCCUGGGGAGUACGGCCGCAAGGCUGAAACUCAAAGGAAUUGACGGGGGCCCGCACAAGCGGUGGAGCAUGUGGUUUAAUUCGAAGCUACGCGAAGAACCUUACCAGGUCUUGACAUACU